CCUGACACGUAGCAGCCACGGGGCAGGGGCGCGCGUUUCAGAACGAUUCACGAAGCAGCCACUGGGGGAGGGGGAGGGGGUAAGCGGAGAGCAGAGUCCCUCCCUUGCCCUCCCCCCUGCACCCCCACCUCCAGAGGAGUUUCCAGCAUCCCAGUUAGUGCCGGGAGCCCUUCGCACACCCUUCCCGCGCUCCUGCUUCUUCUCCCUGCUGGUGUUUCAUCCGGGCGCUCCUGGAGAGCUGCACCUGCGUGUUUCACAAGCCAAACGUUGGACAGAAGCCUCUAAACGUCUGGAGGAGCGCAACGAGUGGGUGCACGCAGCCUACAUGCGACCCGAGAUGAGCCCCUUCUGCUGUUCCGCACUCCUCAGUGUCCGUGGCCAGAGACUGUCUGCUCUCCCCUCCGCAGGAUAAAAAGGAGAUCUGAGCUCUGCUCCCUCAUCAGCUGUUGUAAUGAAGCGGAUGCCUCAGUCUACGGUUCCGAGGUCCCUGCUGCUUCCAGCCUCAGGAGGGCAGAGGUCACUGGCCCCACAGCCCCCAACACCUUUCCAAGACCAGUCUGUUCCUCUACAAAUAACAGGGGCGCUACUGAGGGCUCACCAAACUGGAAAGUUCUGCAAGUCUGUGAAUGCUGGAGCCCAUGUUGGAGUGUGGGAACCCGGGGGGUUUGGAUCCCGUCUUCCCGGGCGAGCCCUCAAAGCUGGUGACCAGGUUUGUUCAUCCUGAGAUUAAUGGGCCCUCCCCCCAGCUCCCAGCCCAGCGCUCCUUAUACAGCUUGA